CAUGUUGAAAAAACGGUUCCUGUACGAUUACCGAAGUUAAGCAACGUUGAGCCUGGUUAGUACCUAGAAGGGUGACCACUUGGGAAUUAUCAGGUGCUGUAA